rnacentral:rRNA from 2 species
CUUCCGUAGGUGAACCUGCGGAAGGAUCAUUAUCGAGUUUUGACUGGGUUGUAGCUGGCCUUCCGAGGCAUGUGCACGCCCUGCUCAUCCACUCUACACCUGUGCACUUACUGUGGGCUUCAGAUCGUAAAACGGGUCCCUUUACCGGGCUUGCGGAGCGUGUCUGUGCCUGCGUUUAUCACAAACUCUAUAAAGUAUCAGAAUGUGUAUUGCGAUGUAACGCAUCUAUAUACAACUUUCAGCAACGGAUCUCUUGGCUCUCGCAUCGAUGAAGAACGCAGCGAAAUGCGAUAAGUAAUGUGAAUUGCAGAAUUCAGUGAAUCAUCGAAUCUUUGAACGCACCUUGCGCUCCUUGGUAUUCCGAGGAGCAUGCCUGUUUGAGUGUCAUGAAAUCUUCAACCUGCAAGCUUUUGUGGUUUGUAGGCUUGGACUUGGAGGCUUGUCGGCCGUUGUUGGUCGGCUCCUCUUAAAUGCAUUAGCUUGGUUCCUUGCGGAUCGGCUCUCAGUGUGAUAAUGUCUACGCUGCGACCGUGAAGCGUUUGGCGAGCUUCUAACCGUCUCAGUUGGAGACAACUUUAUGACCUCUGACCUCAAAUCAGGUAGGACUACCCGCUGAACUUAAGCAUAUCAAUAAGCGGAGGAA